UGCUUGGCAAGUUGUCACGCGCGUAUAUACUCGGGAAUCGGCCCGAACGUCUCUACCCGGAAACCUUAAUUUCCGGACUACGCGGCAAUCACCAAUGACA
rnacentral:ncRNA from 2 species